AUACGUAGGGGGCGAGCGUUGUCCGGAAUGAUUGGGCGUAAAGGGCGCGUAGGCGGCCCGGUAAGUCUGGAGUGAAAGUCCUGUUUUUAAGAUGGGAAUUGCUUUGGAUACUGUCGGGCUUGAGUGCAGGAGAGGUAAGUGGAAUUCCCAGUGUAGCGGUGAAAUGCGUAGAGAUUGGGAGGAACACCAGUGGCGAAGGCGACUUACUGGACUGUAACUGACGCUGAGUCGCGAAAGUGUGGGGAGCAAACAGGAUUAGAUACCCUGGUAGCCCACGCCGUAAACGAUGAAUACUAGGUGUAGGGGGUAUCGACUCCCUCUGUGCCGCAGUUAACACAAUAAGUAUUCCGCCUGGGGAGUACGGCCGCAAGGUUGAAACUCAAAUGAAUUGACGGGG
rnacentral:rRNA from 1 species